CCUACGGGUGGCAGCAGUGAGGAAUAUUGGUCAAUGGGCGCGAGCCUGAACCAGCCAAGUCGCGUGAGGGAAGACGGUCCUAUGGAUUGUAAACCUCUUUUGUCGGGGAGCAAAAGACGCCACGCGUGGCGUUCCGAGAGUACCCGAAGAAAAAGCAUCGGCUAACUCCGUGCCAGCAGCCGCGGUAAUACGGAGGAUGCGAGCGUUAUCCGGAUUUAUUGGGUUUAAAGGGUGCGUAGGCGGACUGUUAAGUCAGCGGUAAAAGCCCGGGGCUCAACCCCGGCGAGCCGUUGAAACUGGUUGUCUUGAGUGAGCGAGAAGUAUGCGGAAUGCGUGGUGGAGCGGUGAAAUGCAUAGAUAUCACGCAGAACUCCGAUUGCGAAGGCAGCAUACCGGCGCUCAACGGACGCUCAUGCACGAAAGUGUGGGUAUCGAACAGGAUUAGAUACCCGGGUAGUC
rnacentral:rRNA from 1 species